GGAAGCCAGCGGGCUCGGCGGGGUCUACGGUCUUGAAAACCGUCGUGGCAGCGAUGUCACCGUGGGUUCAAAUCCCACAGUCUCCGCCA
rnacentral:tRNA from 1 species